UACGUAGGGGGCAAGCGUUUGUCCGGAUUUAUUGGGCGUAAAGAGCUCGUAGGCGGUGUGUCGCGUCGGCCGUGAAAACCUGCAGCUUAACUGUGGGCUUGCGGUCGAUACGGGCAUCACUGGAGUUCGGCAGGGGAGACUGGAAUUCCUGGUGUAGCGGUGAAAUGCGCAGAUAUCAGGAGGAACACCGGUGGCGAAGGCGGGUCUCUGGGCCGAUACUGACGCUGAGGAGCGAAAGCGUGGGGAGCGAACAGG
rnacentral:rRNA from 1 species